rnacentral:misc_RNA from 1 species
CACAUGUGACGUCAUUCAUUAUCAUUUUGUUCAACAUGUGGGGCUAGGCGGAGAUCUAAAACUAGGACACCUCUUUCGCGACAAAUGGCUAAAGGGUAAUAACUAUGAGUGACAAAUUCGGCACUCCCUGCUGUAAGUACACAGGAUUUUUUGAGGUGUUUAUGUGAGAAGAUAUAUUUCGUACUUCUGGAAGUGACAAUGUGUAGAAUGAAGUGAAGGAACAUGAAAUCCAACAACAAUUUCCGCGAGCAGGUGACCUUAGUGACUGGUUGGUUCAAAACUUGGAGUGAGUGUGAGCAAACGGUGGCCCUGUACUCUUUGUUGAAGAAGCUGACACCAUCACAAGCCAAGUUCCUGGUGCAGGUGCUUCAGCAGUCUCUUGCAGAGUGUACAGAGGCAAAGCUGUUGCAGGAGAAGGCCAAUGAUCCAGCUUUCAUCAGCAAAGUGUGUUCUGAAUCCAAGGAGAAAGCUAUCGGCCACUUGCUCAAAUAUCUGCCUCUCUUACAGUCAGGCAAUGCUUCUGCAAAGAAGGAAUACUUACGCAUCAUUCCCGAGGUGCUCUCUCAUGCCAUUGAAAAUGGAGUGAACAUUGAGGAAAGUAGACAGCUCCUCUCCUACUCCCUCAUCCACCCUGCCAUCAGUGGGGAGGAACGCUUACAGUUCCGAAUGUGGCUGGGAUAUCUGGAGGAGAGGUUUACAUACAGCAUCAGUCCAGCAAGGGGGCCAAGUCAGUCCCCACCCUUGGCUGUCACAGACCAGACAGUUACACUGUCCAAUGGACCUAACAGUGGUCAAUGGACCACCUCAACCAAUCAAGACAUUACAAGCAUUGUGAAUGGUUCAGAUAAUGGGGAUAAUGCUAGUAACAAUGGGUAUAUUGGGAACAGUUUGGGCAGUCAUCAGUCAUUACGAAUCAGCAACAGCCAUGUAGGAGUAGUAUCAUCACCAAACAAUGGUCAUACAGCUCUCCAUGCCACUUCCUCUGCACCACCUAACUUCAGCACACCACCAGUUAGUAACCAGGGUAACAACAAUCAACAAAACAACUUGCAUGCACCUCUACGUAGGACAUAUUCAGUCACUCCACCUGUGGGCGUUCCAAACCCAGAGAAAACUGUUACUGAUUGGUUGCGCACCAAUGACAACCACCUGUCUCGGGGCAACUCCAACAACUCUACCUGUGAACAUGCUCCCCUGUCCCCCCAGAGCAGCAUCACCUCCUCGGGAAGUGGCAGUGACACCCACCCCGAUGAUGGAGGCCCCCAGCCUGUGAGAAACAGCUUUUUGGAAGAUGGUAGCGGUAUGAGAGAGGUUCCAGUCUGGCUGAAAAAUCUUCGUCUGCACAAGUACUCCUAUCUAUUUCGACAGAUGACGUAUGAAGAAAUGAUGAAUCUAUCUGAGGAAUGGCUGGAAUCUCAGAAUGUGACAAAAGGUGCCCGUCAUAAGAUCAUCCUGAGCAUUGCCAAGCUGAUAGAGAGGCAGGAUCUGCUUCGGGCACUGGAAAAGGACAUAAUGGAAAAGGGUUCCAUAAAGCAGGCCAUUACAGAGAUGAGGAACAUGUUGAACACACCUAUCAAGGGUCACGUACCUGCUACAGCCGUCUCAUCAGUAGUGUCUCCACCAAUUUCCCCAUCCACUACACCAAGUGACAGUGAUGGCAACAAAAUAGCAGAAGGAGACAUUACUGGCCAGUUUACAAGACUCAUGGGAAAAGUGUGCACCCAGCUGUUGGUGGCAAGCCGUCCUGAUGAUGACUGCUUCACAACGUACCUACAGCUCAUAGACAAGUGUCUCAAUCACGAGGCAUUCACACAGAAGCAGAAGAACCUCCUUGCCACUUGGAAACAACAGGCCCACAAGAUUUGGCAGCCACCUCCCUACAAGUAUGGCACUGACAAACCUAGAAAAGUCUGGGGUAAUACCUUCCCACUUAUUGGAACAUCUUUCAACAAUCGUAUCAACACCAAACAAAUUAGGAUCCCUCCCAAACAUGGCAUACAGCAGUGGAGCUUUGGCUCCAAGCGGUCGGUUGUUGGGGCCCAGCCUACAGGACAUAUACCCCUACAGAAGAACAACUCCCUCAACACUACAUUUCUCAACAAACCUGGGCUGCUAGAGGGGAAGCAGCAGGUGGUCAGAACCAACUCGGCUCCAAUCAGGUCAGGACAACUCUCACUAUCUGUGCCUGUGAAUGAUGAUGGCAGCACCGACACCGAGAUCAACGCCAGACUGGAUUCCCUCUGUAUUAGCAUGACAGAACAUGCUUUAGGAAGCUUAACUGAACACAGUUAUACCUGAUGACAGGACCGUGACUUGUGGAACAUCGUCUGCUGCUGGGGAUACUAAGCUGAGGUCUACUGCUGACAUGUAAUGUCACUCAGUCCUGGAAUGUCCUGCGUUAUAUCCUAAACACUUCCUACAUAGAUGCCAACUCAAGGGCAUGGAGACUUUAGAAGAGAAAUCACCACACACCCCCUCAGAUAUAUGUAGUGAGCAUGGUGUAGUCUGGAAGACUGUGACAUGUAGUCACCAUCAUCAAGACAGAUCUGAAGAUUUCACUGUGCUCAUGGGCAGAUAUGUGAUUGUUAGCCCGGAUAAACUGCUGCCUAAAUGUGUUUGUGUAUAGUGUGCUGUAUGGGAUAUAAGUGCUGGGUAGCUUUCACUGCCAACUCCUGCCAGCAUCUGGCUCCUCCACACAGCUGGCCCACACUGUAGUGCUACUCAUUUCGUCUUUCGUAAGCCUUGGUGUUGAAGGGCUGUCAUGUGACCUGCCAUAUUGUGCCUUCUGGAGCUGUGACAGAUUGUAUGUUGUUUUUGUGGUCCAGAAACUAUUUUCAUGUUUGUAGCACAUCACCUGUGUGGAGCCAUAGUAUAUGUGUCAACGGAUAUUUUCCUAUUUUGUUAUUGUCAAUGGCUAGAGUGGUGCUGAAAUAUUGCUGAGGAUCCCAUCCCUUUCUUCCUUAUAGGAAACAUUUAUCAUGGGAAUCUAAUUGACAAAUUCAAAUGAAUGCCUUUGUGAAUGGAAAUAUGUGUGAUAUAUGUUGUAGAUACCUAUUUAUGUUAAAGCUAAUGGUUCCAUACGGUCCUUCCAAACCAGUGUGAAGAUGUGCAGCAUGUGCGGAGAUGAAUACAGCCAAAACAACUUCAUCACCAGCUAAGUUUCCCACAUUGAAGUUUUCUCUGUACUUGUCACACAAAUGAUAAUCAAAUUGGUACAAUUUGGUUGUGUGCGUGAUGUAACAACAUGAUCCAUGGGCUGACAGUAGGAUGGCUUGGCUCAGGUGGUAUCUCGGGUACAUCUUGUGUCUGUUCGCUGUCCAUCAGUGGCUCAAUAUGUUGGUAUUACAGUGCAUAAGGCAAGCUAAACAGGGCCAAAGUUCUAGCAGAACUUUCAAGAUAUACCAUGUGCAUUCCAUAAUAUAUCCAUACAAAGAUCUGAUUUGACAGACGAGCAUUAUAAGGUUGUCAACAAGGGUGAAAAAGUAUGCGUCUCAUGAGACAUUCAUUACAUAAUAAACACAUAAUAUUGCUUAGAAAAACUUAAAAACUAUGAAAGCCUUAUAUUAACAAUAGUGUUUAGUUUGCAAUGAUGCACAUUAAUUUAUUCCAACAGUGAGUUACGUCAUUUCAUUAAACUUGACUAAUAAAGUACUGGGAUUAUUAUUCAAACAUUCAGUCCAUGUGCAGUGUAUGUGUGUAGUAGGUUUGUGUGUGUACAUGUGAAGUGACUUUACUGGCGUGCUGGUGUGUAUAUGGACUGCAGGCCCAGUGUCAUAGCACCAGGCACCACUCACAACUUCCCUGAGAGAAAAAGUUAUUUAUCCUUUUGAAAGUCUGCUAAGAAUCAUUUAAACAACAUUUGUAUUUUUCUGGUGAUAAGCUAUCCAACUGUGUUGAAGAUGAGGAGUUGAAUGAAAUGUUGUUAGUGCACAGAGCACUCUAUCGACAGUCAUACUGUUGUUGACUUUAUGUAUGUAAUCAUUUAGACCUCUGCUGCCAUCAUGACUGUGUGUUCUCUCAGCCUUGGUUGUAUAUAGCCCAGCUCUUCACCCUUGCUACAACUGCCGCACAUCAUUACAGUUUCUCAAUUAUUGUACCUAGGCCAGACCUUUCUAAUGUUGGGUGAACACAAUUUUGGAGCCAUUAUGCAGGAGCUCCCAAACAUUGGUGAUUGUUGAUAGGUCAAAUGCACAUAAAACUAAGUGUCCAUAACUUAAUAGGACAUUUGUUUGAUUUCUUCAAAAGAGGGAGGAAUUGAUUCGUUGAAAGCCUUAAAAAUUGAUUUAAUUCUUUUGAGGUAGAUUUACUGGCCAUUAGCCAGAGGUUUUGUGAUAAAUUCUCACCUUUUCUAUUGGGGACUGUUCAGGUAAAAGUGGUAUGUACAGCAUGAAACAAGUUGUUGGUUGAUAUGUGUGCACUGUAUACAACAACACUUAGCUACUGGAUGUUUGGGACAUAUCUAUUCUCUGAUGGUGUACACUGUAUUUAAAAUUAAUUUUAAGCAACUGUAAUAUGUAGCAGAUAAAACAGUUAUGACAGCACAUUUUUCUGCCUUGAAGCUUUUGAAUGAAAUGUUCAUAGAGGCUUACAGCUAGGUGUAAUGCUACAACUUAUGUCUUUAUAGAAAGACGGCUCCAUAACAUUAUGUCGAAUGGCAUCAUCUUUGUGAGAGUGUGCAUUAGGGGCUGGACAGUGGUGAUGUUAUAGAUAUGAUCCCACGCCAACCAUCAUGUAUAGUUUGUGUACAUAACACUUGUCAAGUAGCAAAUGUUAAUUGUUUCAAGGAAAGUGUGUGUGGUUUCUAUGUCCUAACCAAGAUGACAGUAUGAUUUUGUUGAUUCCUGCCUGUUAAUGGAGUUUGUCUUGUGUUUAUUGUGCUGGUUCACAAAAUGUAGGUACUAAUAUGGACAUAAUUCCAGGUAGUAAUGUGCUGCUGUGUCCCGGUAGUGAUGUGCUGCUGUGUCCCGGUAGUGAUGUGCUGCUGUGUCCCGGUAGUAAUGUGCUGCUGUGGACAUAAUCCUUGUAGUGAUGUGCUGCUGUGGACAUAAUCCCAGAAGUGAUGUGCUACUGUGUCCAGGUAGUAAUGUGCUGCUGUGUCCCGGUAGUGAUGUGCUGCUGUGUCCUGGUAGUGAUGUGCUGCUGUGUCCCGGUAGUGAUGUGCUGCUGUGGACAUAAUCCUUGUAGUGAUGUGCUGCUGUGGACAUAAUUCCAGUAGUGAUGUGCUGCUGUGUCCCGGUAGUGAUGUGCUGCUGUGUCCCGGUAGUGAUGUGCUGCUGUGUCCCGGUAGUGAUGUGCUGCUGUGUCCCAGUAGUGAUGUGCAGCUGUGUCCCGGUUGUGAUGUGCUGCUGUGUCCAGGUAGCAAUGUGCUGCUGUGUCCCGGUAGUGAUGUGCUGCUGUGUCCCGGUAGUGAUGUGCUGCUGUGGACAUAAUCCUGGUAGUGAUGUGCUGCUGUGUCUCGGUAGUGAUGUGCUGCUGUGUCCCGGUUGUGAUGUGCUGCUGUGUCCCGGUAGUGAUGUGCUGCUGUGUCCCGGUUGUGAUGUGCUGCUGUGUCCCGGUAGUGAUGUGCUGCUGUGUCCCGGUAAUGAUGUGCUGCUGUGGACAUAAUCCCGGUAGUGAUGUGCUGCUGUGUCCCGGUAGUGAUGUGCUGCUGUUGACAUAAUCCCGGUAGUGAUGUGCUGCUGUGGACAUAAUCCUUGUAGUGAUGUGCUACUAUGUCCCAGUAGUGAUGUGCAACUGUGUCCCAAUAGUGAUGUGCUACUAUGUCCCAGUAUUGAUGUGCUGCUGUGGACAUAAUCCCUGUAGUGAUGUGCUGCUAUGUCUCAGUAGUGAUGUGCUGCUGUGGACAUAAUCCCAGUAGUGAUGUGCUGCUGUGGACAUAAUCCUUGUAGUGAUGUGCUGCUGUGGACAUAAUCCCAGAAGGGAUGUGCUGCUGUGGACAUAAUCCCAGUAGUGAUGUGCUGCAGUGGACAUAAUCCCAGUAGUGAUGUGCUACUGUGUCCCAGUAGUAAUGUGCAGCUGUGGACAUAAUCCCAGUAGUGAUGUGCUGCUGUGUCCCAGUAGUGAUGUGCUGCUGUGUCCCAGUAGUGAUGUGCUGCUGUGGACAUAAUCCCAGUAUUGAUGUGCUGCUGUGGACAUGAUCCCAGUAGUGAUAUGCGACUGUGUCAAUGUAGUGAUGUAGUAAUGUGCUGCUGUGGACAUAAUCCCAGUAGUGAUGUGCUACUGUGUACCAGUAGUGAUGUGCAGCUGUGGACAUAAUCCCAGGAGUGAUGUGCUGCUGUGUCCCAGUAGUGAUGUGCUGCUGUUGACAUAAUCCCAGUAUUGAUGUGCUGCUGUGGACAUAAUCCCAGUAGUGAUGUGCUGCUGUGGACAUAAUCCCAGUAGUGAUGUGCUGCUGUGGACAUAAUCCCUGUAGUGAUGUGGUCAUAAUCCCAGUAGUGAUGUGCUGAUGUGGACAUAAUCCCAGUAUUGAUGUGCUGCUGUGGACAUAAUCCCAGUAGUGAUGUGCUGCUGUGGACAUAAUCCCUGUAGUGAUGUGGUCAUAAUCCCAGUAGUGAUGUGCAGCUGUGGACAUAAUCCCAGUACUGAUGAGCGACUGGACAUAAUCACAGUUGUGAUGUGCUGCUGUUGUUAUAAUCCCAGUAGUGAUGUGCUGCUGUGGACAUAAUCCCAGUAGUGAUGUGCUGCUGUGUCCCAGUAGUGAUGUGCUGCUGUGUCCCAGUAGUGAUGUGCUGCUGUGGACAUAAUCCCAGUAUUGAUGUGCUGCUGUGGACAUGAUCCCAGUAGUGAUGUGCUGCUGUGGACAUGAUCCCAGUAGUGAUGUGCUGCUGUGGACAUGAUCCCAGUAGUGAUGUGCUACUGUGUCCCAGUAGUGAUGUGCUGCUGUGUCCCAGUAGUGAUGUGCUGCUGUGGACAUAAUCCCAGUAGUGAUGUGCUGCUGUGGACAUGAUCCCAGUAGUGAUAUGCGACUGUGUCCUAGUAGUGAUAUGCUGCUGUGGCCAUAAUCCCAGUACUGAUGAGCGACUGUGGACAUAAUCUCAGUAUUGAUGUGCUGCUGUGGACAUAAUACCAGUAGUGAUGUGCGACUGUGUCCCAGUACUGAUGAGCGACUGUGGACAUAAUACCAGUAGUGAUGUGCUAAAAUGUCCCAGUAGUGAUGUGCAAUGGGUGCCAGUACUGAUGAGCGACUGGAGACAUAAUACCAGUAGUGAUGUGCUAAUAUGUCCCAGUAGUGAUGUGCGACUGUGUCCCAGUACUGAUGAGGAACUGUGGACAUAAUACCAGUAGUGAUGUGCUACUGCUGAGCAUUUCCUAAUCAUGUAGUCUACAUUGCCUUUCCUACAUCUUAAGAUAAGAUUUUUGUGUAUGUUUUUUUUUAAAACCAGGUCUUAAUAUGAGUGAAUGAAAAUAUGCAAGAAUUUGUGCACAUGCUUUUCUGUUGUGCACAAUAAUGGAGUGUUUAAUCUGCAAGUGAGCACAUUUCAGAAUAUCUUGUCCUACAAGAGUCACUAGCAUCUUUGCAUGCAUUCUGUCAAUUCGUCCAUUUCAGACUUCUCAGACAGAGGCUUGUCAGACUCCAUCGGGAACUGGGACAGUCCUCUUAGAAACUGUUGCAUUACCUAUUAAACUAGUUCAUCCUAUUUUUGUAAGAAAUUGGGCACACACAAUGAGAAUGCUUAGCAUAAUUGCAGUUUAUUCUGUGUCACUGAUUAUUAUGUGUUACUAUUGAACAGUAUAUACUAUCAUGCUUAUGAGAGACAACAGUUAAUGUUUAAACUGCAAAACGCUAGCCAAAGCAAGCUCCAUGUCCUAUGUUUUUGUUCAACUACCAGUACCACUCCUGUCAUAUAUUCCUGUUGUACUACACACCACUCUUUUCUUUCACCGAGUGCUUUGUAUUCAUCAAAAAGGUGACAUCACAAGAACAAAAGCAUGAAAUGUUUAUGGCUGUUAAUCAGUUAGAAUGAAUAAUGAAAUCACAUACUGAUGUUAAGAUGCAAAUACAGCUAUUUUGAAUUUUGAGAGAGCGGCAUGUGGACUCAAAAUUUUGAUGAACUGAUGAAGCCCAUCUUUACCUUUGAAAGCAAACUGGUUUGUGCUAAUGCAAACAUCAUGUAUGUUACAGGUUGAAAAACACUUUGUUGAAGGAAAGGAAGACAAUUUAUGUCAUAGCAGGUUCUCAUGUCUAAGCAUUCAAGAGAUGAUGCCAAGGAUGUCAUUUAAAGUUGGUCUUCAUCUCAAUAUGAAUGAUUAUAAAAAAUUCUAAAUCAAUUCUAAAAUGAUAUAAGUUAAGAACUCACUUGUACUUUGAAGCACUAAAGAAGAAUUGUGUCCAUUUAACAGUGGAAGCUCACUUGAAGCUCCACAACCACCAACAAUCAUCUUUUGAAUUGUUACAUAAUUGUAGCUUUAAAUUGGGCAAACUCGUACAGGAAGCGAAGAUUAUGGAACCUACUGUAACGAAUCAUGAAAAUGUAAAUUUGUUGGUUAAAGUUCAUUCCUAUGUUAUGUGAUGCUUGGUCAUUUGCUUGUUCCUGUUUUCAGUUAUGAAUGAGCUGAUCACAUGGUUUUCAAAAAUAACUAUUACACAUAAAUGGGUCUUUAUGUUUUGAAGAUAGCUGUUAAUGUAUAUUUGUUAAAAGGGAACACUAAAUAUGUCAGUCAAUUCCCUGCCAUGACGUGUGUGCAUUAACAUUAACACUGCAAAGCCAUACCACAUCACUAUGGUCAGUAUCUACACUGGUGCAGUCUCCAUGAUAGUCAUUAUCAGACCCAUUGUUAUAUUGAGAUACAUGUACCUUUAAUUCUUAAAGGAUUUGAAAUGUGAGACCUGCUUCUGGUAUUUUUGUUGAUGUCUUCAAAGGAAGGAAUUGACUUGAUCCACAAAAUGCUGUUAUUACAGUUUGAAAUUGUUAAUUUAAUUUGUUAGAGUUUUAAAAAAAGUUGACUUUUAAAAUGUUGAUCUUCCAUAUAUAAUUUUGAUGUUGAACAAAUGAGCUUACUACCCUUCCUCCUGGGCUCUGUAACAAGCAUCUUGCUUUGUACCAUCAAAUAAAAGGUAGAAACAUUUACAUUAUAAAUAUAUAUACAUAUAUACAUACAUAUACAUACAUAUAUAUAUAUUUUUGUAAGCCAUUCUUUGAUGUAAUGUAACACAAUUGAGAACAACAAAGUUAAUGCCAAUUGUGUGGGAGAUGGUUAUUUGUUGUGGAGCUGGCACUGGUUGUUCCAUCAGUGAGGAAGGAAGUCAGGGUUCACUAGGCACCAUUUGGUUCUCAUUGUAAAAAUGUUUGUAUUGUGUUCACCCUUUUCAGUGGACAAGUUCUUGGUUGUCACUUAACAUGCAAUGAUGUUUGAGGGAUAUUUGGAGAAAUAAAUAUUUUAAUCUC